CGAGUCUUAACUGGGCGUUAAGUUGCAGGGUAUAGACCCGAAACCCGGUGAUCUAGCCAUGGGCAGGUUGAAGGUUGGGUAACACUAACUGGAGGACCGAACCGACUAAUGUUGAAAAAUUAGCGGAUGACUUGUGGCUGGGGGUGAAAGGCCAAUCAAACCGGGAGAUAGCUGGUUCUCCCCGAAAGCUAUUUAGGUAGCGCCUCGUGAAUUCAUCUUCGGGGGUAGAGCACUGUUUCGGCUAGGGGGUCAUCCCGACUUACCAACCCGAUGCAAACUACGAAUACCGAAGAAUGUUAUCACGGGAGACACACGGCGGGUGCUAACGUCCGUCGUGAAGAGGGAAACAACCCAGACCGCCAGCUAAGGUCCCAAAGUCAUGGUUAAGUGGGAAACGAUGUGGGAAGGCACAGACAGCCAGGAUGUUGGCUUAGAAGCAGCCAUCAUUUAAAGAAAGCGUAAUAGCUCACUGGUCGAGUCGGCCUGCGCGGAAGAUGUAACGGGGCUAAACCAUGCACCGAAGCUGCGGCAGCGACACUAUGUGUUGUUGGGUAGGGGAGCGUUCUGUAAGCCUGCGAAGGUGACCUGUGAGGGUUGCUGGAGGUAUCAGAAGUGCGAAUGCUGACAUAAGUAACGAUAAAGCGGGUGAAAAGCCCGCUCGCCGGAAGACCAAGGGUUCCUGUCCAACGUUAAUCGGGGCAGGGUGAGUCGACCCCUAAGGCGAGGCCGAAAGGCGUAGUCGAUGGGAAACAGGUUAAUAUUCCUGUACUUGGUGUUACUGCGAAGGGGGGACGGAGAAGGCUAUGUUAGCCGGGCGACGGUUGUC
rnacentral:rRNA from 1 species